rnacentral:SRP_RNA from 1 species
GCUGGGCGUGGUGGCUCAUGCCUGUAAUCCCAGAACUUUGGGAGGCCGAGGCAGGUGGAUCACCUGAGGUCAGGAGUUCGAGACCAGCCUGGCCAACAUGGUGAAACCCUGUCUCUA